UCUGUCUUUCUAUUAUUUUUUUCGUUUUUUUUCUGAUAUAUGAUUUCUCUAGCCCUAGCUGACUUGUAAGUCAGGGUGACCUUGAACGCAGAAAUCUGCCUGAGGUUGAAGGUGUGUUCCACAAUUGCCCCAGCUCUACUCUAAUUCUCUUUUUAAAAAUGUGUGUGUGUAUAUAUGUAUAUAUGUAUAUAUAGAAGUAAUAUUAAUCCAUUAAUAUCUGUUUCCUAAAAUUCAUGUCUCUCUCUCUCUCUCU
rnacentral:lncRNA from 1 species